rnacentral:rRNA from 2 species
UUUGUUGCCAGCGAUUAGGUCGGGAACUCAAAGGAGACUGCCAGUGAUAAACUGGAGGAAGGUGGGGAUGACGUCAAGUCAUCAUGGCCCUUACGACCAGGGCUACACACGUGCUACAAUGGCGCAUACAAAGAGAAGCGACCUCGCGAGAGCAAGCGGACCUCAUAAAGUGCGUCGUAGUCCGGAUUGGAGUCUGCAACUCGACUCCAUGAAGUCGGAAUCGCUAGUAAUCGUGGAUCAGAAUGCCACGGUGAAUACGUUCCCGGGCCUUGUACACACCGCCCGUCACACCAUGGGAGUGGGUUGCAAAAGAAGUAGGUAGCUUAACCUUCGGGAGGGCGCUUACCACUUUGUGAUUCAUGACUGGGGUGAAGUCGUAACAAGGUAACCGUAGGGGAACCUGCGGUUGGAUCACCUCCUUACCUUAAAGAAGC